UACGGAGGGUGCGAGCGUUGUCCGGAUUUAUUGGGUUUAAAGGGUGCGUAGGUGGCUGUUUAAGUCAGUGGUGAAAUACGGUUGCUCAACAAUCGAGGUGCCAUUGAUACUGAAUAGCUUGAAAUAAUUGGAGGCUGCCGGAAUGGAUGGUGUAGCGGUGAAAUGCAUAGAUAUCAUCCAGAACACCGAUUGCGAAGGCAGGUGGCUACGAUUGGUUUGACACUGAGGCACGAAAGCAUGGGGAGCAAACAGGAUUAGAAACCCCCGUAGUCC
rnacentral:rRNA from 1 species